rnacentral:rRNA from 1 species
AACGUAGGACACAAGCGUUAUCCGGAAUUACUGGGCGUAAAGCGUGCGCAGGCGGUCUUUUAAGCCAGAUGUGAAAUCCCCGGGCUUAACCUGGGAACUGCGUUUGAAACUGAAAGGCUAGAGUGUGGCAGAGGGGGGUGGAAUUCCACGUGUAGCAGUGAAAUGCGUAGAGAUGUGGAGGAACACCGAUGGCGAAGGCAGCCCCCUGGGCUAACACUGACGCUCAUGCACGAAAGCGUGGGGAGCAAACAGG